rnacentral:rRNA from 1 species
CAGUAGCGUAUAUUAAAGUUGUUGCAGUUAAAAUGCUCGUAGUUGAAGUUCGGAUGCAGCAGAGCUUGGAAACGCUGUUAUGGUGAUUCCGUUGCUUUUGCUUGUCCACAGUGCGUUGCAAGUACGUAUGUGCUUGUGCGUGCAUUUUACUUUGAGAAACAUAGGGUGUUCCACGCAUGUUACGGCAUGAAUAUUCCAGCAUGGGAUAAUCUGGUACGACUUCCAAUCUGCCAUUUUGGUUCGUAGGUUGGAAGUAAUGAUUAAUAGGGACUGUCGGGGGCAUUCGUAUUCCGUUGUCAGAGGUGAAAUUCUUGGAUUUACGGAAGACGAACAUCUGCGAAAGCAUUUGCCAAGGAUGUUUUCAUUGA